rnacentral:tRNA from 1 species
AGAGGAAUAACUCAGUGGUAGAGUGUGUACUUAGCAUGCACAAGGUCCUCUGUUCAAUCCCUGGUACCUCCA